rnacentral:lncRNA from 1 species
GUUCCAUCGCCUGCACUUCUAGAUUCAUUGUCUCCUUCCUCUGAUGUAACCAAGAAGUCAAACUCCUUUAGAGCUUCUUUUGUAUCUCGAUCUUCACCGCUGUCAGGCAAUGCUUUUUUCCUAACAAUCUAAUGAAAAAACAUGCUAAAUUAAAUAAAGGAGAUAGUUUCCCUUUACCACUGAAUAAGAAAAUUCAAUUAUUUUCUUCAGAAAGUAUACGUUUGUUGUGUUAAAUAACUGUACUACCUAACUCAGUGAAAAUCACAUAGUUUUAAAAAAUAUGUACAUUAUAAAUUUUAAAGCAGUAAUUUAAACUUUGCUCAACGGUAUUAUGGCUUGUUUUAAGUAAACUAACGGAACCACAUACUGAAAUAUAAGACAUGUACUGAAAUGACAGAUAUACGAUUUACAAGGUUCCCAUAAUUAUUUCUACUGUCCUAACCUUGCAUCAGUUUUCUCUAGUAGCUCUCCAUGUAUUUAUUUUUUUCCCUAAAAUGUUGAUCUUUCAGAGUACAUCUAACUUAGAUUUAACAACAAAUUGGUAAAGGUUGCUAUGGUUCAUUUUUCUAUAUUUAGAAAUAACUCUGGAAUCACAAAUCCAAUUGAAGGGCUAAAACUUAAGCUGAAUACAUGCAGGGACAAUUUUUGUGAUCUACAUGCCUAAGCUCUUUAUGAACUGUCUCCAUCUCAGUCACCUUUACCAACAUGGGCCUAAAGAAAUUAGGAUGCUAGGUUUGCAUUUUCUUUGAAUAAGAUUUCAAUAUCUCAGUUUCUCUAGACUUCAGCUUACUCACUUCAUGCAAAACAGAAAUAACAUGAUAGGAUCAAAUGUUAUCGCUGGGCUAUUGUGAGUGGCUUAAAAUUAUAAAAGUUUUACAGACAGACCAAUAGGAUAGACUAGAGAGUUGAGAAGUAGACCCCAAAGAUGACAAACACGUGACUUGUAUGGCCCUGUUCCCAUGCUGUUAAUUGGUAUCAUUCAUCAAUCACAGCAUUCUUCUUCAAAAACAAGAUACAGCCUCAGAAAUCCUUCUCAGUACAGCACUCCAAGAAGCCACUACCAACAGAACAAAGGUGGCAUCAUAAACAACUCCUAUCUAGCCUUAACUGUCCUGAUACAUAUAAAAACUGUAAAGGAGUGGCCGGGCCCGGUGGCUCAUGCCUGUAAUCCCAGCACUUUGGGAGGCCGAGGUGGGUGGAUCAAGAGGUCAGGAGAUCGAGACCAUCCUGGCUAACACGGUGAAACCCUGUCUCUACUAAAAAGACAAAAAAUUAGCCAGGCAUGGUGGCAGGCACCUGUAGUCCCAGCUACUCGGGAGGCUGAGGCAGAAGAAUGGCGUGAACCUGGGAGGCAGAGCUUGCAGUGAGCCAAGAUCGCGCCACUGCACUCCAGCCUGGGCGACAGAGCAAGACUCCGUCUAAAAAAAAAAAAAACACAAUUGGAUAGGAGAAAUCAAAGGAUUAUUUAAUGAUGCUAGAAUAAUUUGUUUAACUAUUUGGGAUAUUUUCCUAAAAUCAAGAAAUACUUCUAUGCUUACAGCACCUCCCAAUCUACCAUCUAGCAAAUCUAUUAGACAAACAAACAAAAAAAGCAAGAUCAGUGUGGCAGACUGGGAACAGAAAACCCGUGCUGAAUGUGUAUUCUUUUAUAAAUACAAACCAUAUUCUAAUAAUCUAUUCUAAUUUUCCCUAGGUAGCCAGACUAAGGUAGAAAGGUGUAUCUGGGCCAGGUACGGUGGCUCAUGCCUGUAAUCCCAGCACUUUGGGAGGCCGAGAUGGGUGGAUCACGAGGUCAGGAGGUGGAGACCCUCCUGCCUAACAUGGUAAAAACCCCGUCUCUACUAAAAAUACAAAAAAAAAAAAAAAAAAUUAGCGAGGCAUGGUGGUGGGCACCUGUAGUCCCAGCUACUCGGGAGGCUGAGGCAGGAGAAUGGCGUGAACCCAGGAGGCGGAGCUUGCAGUGAGCUGACAUCACGCCACUGCGCCCCAGCCUGGGUGACAGUGCGAGACUCCAUCUCAAAAAAAAAGAAAAAAAACAGGUGUAUCUGAAGAGUUAUGCCAACAGGACACCCCAAUUCUCAGAGUUCCACAUAUAAAUAUAUUGCCUAAUCUACCUUCUUUUACCCUAGAGGCUUAAUCCCUCCAUCUUCUAGACUCUGAUGAGUUGCCAGCUGUAAUUCAGAGGGACCACCACCAACAUCUUACAGAGUCCUCGUUCUCACUGCCUGACAAAAAGAGCAGGCAAAAUCCAUAAGAAGCAUGUGGAACCUCAAAUUCCAAGUAUGAAUAUAUUUUCAACAUUAAAUAUUAGGUAUUAAGUAAUAAAAGCAACUCUUGGGGGGAAAAACUUGUUUCUAGUCUCACCACCUCAGUAUAACCUUACAAAGAAUAAAGAUAAAUGACAUUUAUUACUGUCAUUGCAGAUUACUAUUUACUAAGUAUCUCACUUUAAAUAAAUAAACCAAAAGUCCUCUGCUUUUAAUGUUUGGGUAGAGAAGAAAAAUGAAUUGUGUUUACCACUGGAGAACAGGAUCAGAAUCGGAAGAGGUAGAGUUUGUAAUAAUAAGCAUGUAUUACUUUUCUUCCUGACAUAGAAGGUUCCACUCCACUUCUACCUUCGAUGAGCUUAUAAAUCAAUUUAGGAAAUUAAGAGAAAACCAAAGAAGUUAUGGGUUGCACAGGAUGCCUAAGUAGAUUAGAAAAAUGAAUAAACUGUCACUUCAAAAACCAUUAGGAGGGCCAUGACACAAGGGGACGUGGGAUUCUUUAUACUGUGGCUAAAAAAAAUAGUUAAUAGCUCUUAGUUCCAUUCUUUUUCCUCCUAAAGUUCCUGAAUGUGGAGACUAAAUGCUGCUGCAGAAGUUAGGCUUCACACAGUUUGAAACUGAUCACUUUUUACAUGCAUGUAUAAUCUCAGAGUUGUUAUUACACUUAACUGGUGAUGACGAGAAUACUGAUAAUGAUGGCAAAGAAAAAUAAGGGCCAAGUGCAGUGACUCACACCUGUAAUCCCUGCACUUUGGGAGGCCAAGGCAGGCGGAUCACCUGAGGUCAGGAGUUCGAGACCAGCCUGACCAACAUGGAGAAACCCUGUCUCUACUAAAAAUACAGCAUCAGCCGGGUGUGGUGGUGCAUGCUUGUAAUCCCAGCUACUCGGGAGGCUGAGACAGGAGAAUUGCUUGAACCCAGGAGGCGGAGGUUGCAGUCAGCUGAGAUUACACCACUGCACUCCAGCCUGGGCAACAAGAGUGAAACUCCGUCUCAAAAAAAAAAAGAAAAAUAAAAUAAAAUAACAUUUUUAAAACUUGUUCUACUUGACAUUUUAAUAGGAUAACUUUCAGCUUUUCCUAUAGAAUGCAGUAAGUUAUGCUUAUUCACUGCUACACAGAAUUAGGUUGUUAAAGUCCUUUUCGGCAUAUAGCUAUGUGAGUGUAGCUGUGCAAAUUAAUGUAAUAUAAUGUAAAAAAUAAGCAAAACUGUUAAAACCAGUGAUUUGCUUAGAAAUAUUUUUUUCCAAAAAAAACUAAAAAAUAUAUAUAUAUUUUUUUUUUGAGACAGUCUCGCUCUGUCACCCAGGCUGGAGUGCAGUGGCGCAAUCUCAGCUCACUGCAAGCUCUGCCUCCUGGGUUCACGCCAUUCUCCUGCCUCAGCCUCCCGAGUAGCUGGGACUACAGGCACUCGCCACCAUACCCAGCUAAUUUUUUUUGUAUUUUUAGUAGAGACAGGGUUUCACCGCGUUAGCCAGGAUGGUCUUGAUCUCCUGACCUAGUGAUCCAUCCGUCUCGGCCUCCCAAAGUGCUGGGAUUACAGGUGUGAGCCACCGUACCCAGCCAAAACUAAAAAAAUUUUUGAGUGCAGUAGCAUGAUCAUGGCUCACUGCAACAUCAAAUUCCUGGGCUCAAGCGAUCCUCCUUCCUCAGCCUCCCAUGCAGUAUCACACAUGGCUAAUUAAAAAAAAAUUUUUUUUUUAGAUAUGGGGUCUUGCUAUGUUGCCUAGGCUGGUCCCAAACUCCUGGCCUCAAGUGAUCCUCCCACUUCAGCCUCCUGAGUAGCUGGGGUUACAGGCACAAGCCACUGCACGCAGCACAGAACUGCUAUGAUCUGCACUAAUUAGAAGACAGUAUAUUUAUUAUGUUGUUUACUUAAAAAGACAACAGUCUAUGGUUUAGGAAUUUCUAGUAAGAUCAUAUGUAACAGUUUUAAUAAUUAGUUUAUAAAUAUUUUAAAUAUUUAAAUUGAUAUCACUAACAGAAACAUAGCAUCAUGAUUCAAGGCAUUAUUUAAUACUGAGCUAUGAAUAAAGUAUUUUGAUGGAAAAAUAAUAUCUCAAUGCCAGCAUCCCACAGAAAUCACAAGGGACUACCCAAUUUCCAGAUGAUCAGGACACAGAAAAAGUGUCAUUGAAAUUUAGGCUUUUCCUUUUACUAUGGUAAAUUAAGACACAGGCUAUUACUACUUCUUUGGAUAAGAAAAAUUGGAAGUUACUACUUGAAUUUCAAAUAAUUUCCAAGGCAGGGCUUUACCAGUAGAGUACUAUUGAAUAGUCGUGAUGGAAAACAAUAAUCUGGUAGUAAUAAUUUGAGUCUCUGAUGGAGCCUCAGAAGCAGAAGGCAUAAAACACACAGAGGUUACACUUAGAAAGCACUUUAUAGUUAAACAGAUCAUUUUCGCACAUAGUGUCUCUUUGUUCCUCACAAAAUCCUCCAAGGUUAAGAUGGCUAUUUAUAACAAUCCUCAUUUUACAAAUGAAAAAACUAAGCCUGAAGCAUUAAGAAACACAAAUAGUGGCAGAACUGGAGCUUAAACCCAAGUCUUUUAGUUAGAGGUCCGAUCUGCUUUAUAUUACUUUACUUUCCUCCUCUCUAUUCAUAAAUUAAUGUGAAAGAGAAAAUGCAAACAUUUUCCUAGACAAAGUGAAACAUGUCCUCAUAUCUUACUUUAAAAAGAAGGAAAAGGAGUAGGAGGAAGAAGGAAGGAGAGAGAGAAGGGAGAAGGGGAAGAGGGGAGAAAAGCGAAGAGAGAGGAAAAGGGGGAAAGAGGGAAGAAGAGAAGAAAAUGGAGAAGGGAAGAGAAAGAAGUGGCUACUUCGAGACAUCUCUCAUUCCAAGAACCUGCCAUGGGAAAGUCAAUAAGCUUAUCAACAUCUGAACAAAACUUGAGAAGAACCCUAAACAAUUUUGAAGAACUCUAAUGGAAGAGUUCUGAAAGUUUGCCUACCAAAACAAUCCUGACAAGAGACAAAAACUGCAUAUAUUAGAGCUGAUGCUAGCUGCCAUCAGGCACCAUGAUGUGUCUGUCAAUUCUAUUCUCUUGUAACAACCAAUAACCCUGCAUUGUUAUAACACACAAUAUUUACUAUAUUCAUCUGCCCCAUAGAAAAGUUGUCCUGUUCAAUGAAUGAACAAAAAGUCAAACAGUGAGGAAUUUCAAGAGAAAGCUACUAUAUUAAAAAUAUUCUCAACUUGAAAUCAGUAUUACAAACUCUCAUAAAUGUCUCCAAAUUCAUGAAAAAGAAAAAGCUACGGGUUAAGAUUAAAGAACAUGGAUUCUUUUAUGCAUUAUACAGUAUGUAUUAUAGUCCCUAAAAAUAUUUAUAUUGUAUGAGUUAUCUAACUCACUGUUGAAGUAUCAAUGACGCUUUUCUCUCUUCCAUCAACAUCAUCAUCUUCAUCUUCAUCACUGAAAUCUGCAGCUGCACUUUCAAGGAAUUUGAAAUUAUCCAGCACGGAGGCAGAAUCUGUUAACUCAGACUUUCCAGACAAAAUACUUACGCAAUCAUUGCUGUCUCUUUAACUUCAGCCUCUGUGCCAUUUACAACUGAGUCCUGAUUUUUGUCAUCUUCCCUGUCCGUGACAUCACUUGAAAAGCCCAACAAAGCUCGCACUCGUUUAGAUUUCACAUCUAGAAUAGUAUCUGUAUAACCCACCUCCUGUAGAUACCUGUGUGAAGAGAAUCCUUAGAGUUCAGUCAUACUGGAAUCAGUAUUCUAUAAUUUAAUAUGUAAAUAAAAGUAUUUAUUUAAACUCAUUGCCUGCAUAAGACUUAACAGUACAGUACUAUGCUAGUAAGACUUGUUAAUAAAUAAUCUUCCAGCUGCAGAUGGAGCUGUCUCUUGCAGUACCAGCCUCUACAGUCACUGAGAAAAAUGAGAGAACUAUACAAUACACCAUUCAUUACAUUUACCAUAAGAAGAAGCUGGUCUUUAAUAUAUCUAAUAGCACAUUCUUUUCUUUAGGCUGGAUUGGAGCUAGACUACCAAAUCAGUAUUUUAUAAUAGUUAUUCCGGUAGUUUUUUUAAAUUUGUCAUGGAUCAACUGUUUGUGAUCUAGACAGAAUGUUCCUAGCAUAUAUCGUCUCCUUCAUUACACACAAGGUAGUUAUUUCUCGAGUCACUCUACAGAAUUGAAGCUCCUAUCCUG